GUUAGUUGUUCAAUGAUAUCCGAUUGAGAUAGUUUCAAAGUAACAGGUAGCAGUACUUCUGUAUUGGUGUACGGCUAUCUGACAAGCUAUCUACAUUCAUACGAUACUUCGUGGAGGAGGCACACUGGAGAGCAGAGUGUGGACACGUCCUGGGAGGGAUCGUGUCGAGUGGAGCGGGACAGCCCCAUCAGUAAUGUUCACGCAGACUACAACUAGCCACUGGUCAAAUCUGACUGAGCGAGAGGGGCAGUAUGGUGGCAGGGAGCUGGGAGCACGGUGGAGGUGGCCGGGAGGGCGCAGCGUGUGACGUGACCUCCGCCGCGCGGUAAUAAUCCUCUCUUAUCCCCGAAUUUAUGUCACUAUAAUAUUAGUAGGUAUAAGGUGCGCUUUAAACAAUAAUUAUUGUAUUUACGAUACGUAUCUUAACAAUAAAAAGUCGAUAAGAGUAAUGCGUCGCGAUAUCUUAUCAAUUAGAGGCUUACUUGAGACAUCGAUCAUCGGUCUAAUUACCUGCGAUAAUAGUAAUCAUGGGAUAGCGCCUCACGUCCUCCUCCCGUGCCGCCCUGUCGCCCUGUAGCCCUCUCGCUCUGUCACUCUGUCGCCCUGUCGCUCUGUCACUCUGUCGCCCUGUCGCUCUGUCGCACGUUGCGUGUGAAGCCAGCAGGGAACGACGUGGUGUCACCUGUAGUCACAAACCGAACAGAUUCUAUUGUCCAAUAGACUCCGUGUAUUUGUACAACCAAACAAUAACUGGAAGAUGCGUUGAGACUGUCUUUAUAAAACUGCAUCACAAACGCUGGUUGGAGGUCGCAAAGGAGGUGUAAAUAGUUGAUCGCUGGCGCCCCCAGUCACAGGUACAAGUCCUUGUUCAUCAUGCGACUGUUAUGGCACCCGUGUGAUGAGUAUGGAUUGUGACAACAUUGUAAUUGACUCUGUACUAUACUGACGAUGAAACAUUGUCUAGGUAUUUAAAUAAUUUUUGAAAAAGUAAACAUACGUAGCAAUUCCUUUAGUCUCGACCUACCACGCAACACUUGUCCAAUUUUAUCAGGUUCAGAGUAGUUGGCCAUCCGCCGAAUACAUUACACCUUGCAGACUGUCACAAAUAUUGGAAUAUGCAGUUGAUGUUCAUUUUGAACGGACGCAAUCCAAUGUUAGUAACGUUUUACCAGAGAAUAUUACGUCACUAGCGACACGUCAGCACACAUUAGUUGGCGGAGCACAAAGUGUAAAUAAUACUAUAAUACUAUUAAUGAAUAGGUCGGUAAACAAUCCACGCCGCCCACACAAUUACGGAAUUCCUCUAGUGUUGUGGGUAGCCAUAACAUGCAGAUUGAUAUUAGGAAAUUGGAUAUUGAGGGGGGGGGGGGGGAAUAGUAAACCCCCAGUAAACUCAAUCGAACGGCGAAACAAAUUGUUAUUUCACGUCAAAUGCUUGCGCCGUGGUGUCACUCAGGUCGAGCCGCUGCAUUCAUAACCGAGGCACGUUAAGCAUGGGAUUAAUGACAGUGUUAGCAGCUACAACUUCACCGUAUAGCGUGAGCAUACGCUGAGGUUGCACUAGAGGAUGUGUCCUCAGUGUCAGUCACCUCAGUAGCCCGCAACAGCAGCCAGUGGGUUGGUAAGUAGUGUUGUGAUUAUUACAUAACGACUUCAUAGAGAACUAGCUCAAAGUCUAACUCCUGAGUGUAACGGCGGAUUCAGAAGUUACCAAAACACAUUGUAAGUCCGUUGGUGAAUAAGAAUGAUUUCCUACAUGAUUUACUUGCCUCACAACAUUCACGUGCACUCGCAUGCCCCGGCAGUGCACUGGGCGGUGGCACACAGGACUCGACUGCUUUAUAUGCAAUGCGAGGUAUGGGAUUGGAAUGGGGUUUCCCGCCUCCACGCUACUAAUGAUAACAUUGUUAGAAAAACCUGUUUACAUUACUUGUCCACCAGUAAAUGACCAAAAAUACACAGUAAUUAUAUUAUUUAUUGUUACAAUUAUUUAGAAGUUAAGAUCGCGUUCGUGGGUACAUAGUCUUUCGUAGCCGCGCGUAGUAGCGCGUAGUACUGCGUAGUAAUGCUACGAGCACCGUAGCCAAUAUUUUUUUUUUUUUUUUUUUUAUGGAAUAGGAGGCAAACGAGCAAACGAGUCACCUGAUGGUAAGCGAUCAGCGCCGCCCAUGGACACCCGCAACACCAGAGGAGUCACAGGUGCGUUGCCGGCCUUUGUUUUUUAAAAAGGAGUAUGCUCUUUUCUUGAAGGUUUGAAGGUCGUAUCGGUUCGGAAAUACCGCCGACGACAGCUCAUUCCACAGUUUUGCUGUGCGAGGCAGAAAGUUGCGCGAGAAGCGCACAGUUGUGGCCUGCCAACCAUCUAUAUGGUGGGGAUGGAAAUGCUGUCGUGUGGGUCGAUGGCGAAUAUUGCCACAUUAAAUUACACAACAGUAAAUACUUGCUGUGUUUGGUUUUUCUAUGACCUAGUUGUAUCUAUCAGGCAGGUACGAGUGCUCUAAUUCUAAAAAGAGGCAUUAAUGUUGGUAGAUGGAUGUUAUCAGUCCGAAAUAUAACAUUAUCUAAAUACCAACCAAAAAUAGUUUAUGUAAGUUCACCAUACUCAUGUAGCCAACGAUAAUUUGGCGAUGUAAGCAAACAACCGCAUGUAAGUGCUGGGAUGACGCGGCGCUGGCGAGCGCAUGACACACGCGCCUAAUACAGGCUUCGUGGUAAGCGGCCGUGACUCAGCGAGGACCUGCUGCGGCGCUGCUCUGUCGAGAACGUUCUAUGCACGAUCUCGUCACAGCUGUUGCGUUGGGUAUGCCGAAGUCCAGCUCGGAUUAGAGCCGACCAGGCGACCACCGACCUACGCAGUCUGCUAAGGUCUGUUAAGUCAGAGGUUAAGGAUUCUGCUUUGUGAAGACCAGGUUCCCUCCCAGCACCUACAUGUUGUGGUGCAAAGUGCAGUGCUCGCUCGCUGGCUGCAGCGCGGACUCGCGCGGCGCGGUGCGCGGUGGAGGAGCACACAGCGCUUGUCUUAUCUGCGCACUUGACGGCACUGAUAGUGGCUGCGUGCGUGUGUGUGUGCGUGUGUGUGUGUGUGUAGGUACGUGUGAUUACCUAUCGUGGUAUGUCGUCCUCGACGCUGAAUGAUUCAGCCGUUAUUGCUAGAUCACUUACUUAUUUGCGCAAUAACAAACCACCUUGUUAUUAUUGAACUGUGACUUUCACCUCUACAUGGGGUUUGAAAUUCAGGGCUUUAAAGAAGUCCUUACUUAGAGGGCAGCACCUCAGUCGUAACCCCCUGAAUCUGUACACACAGUAAUUAGUACCUGACUAAACCCGCAUCAGGUACAUUGAAUGUAUAGUUGAAGUCAACGCUACUAGAAUAUUGUCUGAAGUUUUGUUAGAGAGUCUAUUUAAUGGCACACUGCUGUAGCUCUCGGACAAUGAGUGGCCACAGAAACAGACUGAUGCGGAGCAGUACUGAUGAUCAUAUCUGAUAGUGGAAACUAUCCCGAACAACUGGUCACGAGAAUUAUGUAAGCAAAAGUCCUUGUAAAGAUAUGUUUAUUUUUUGUUAUACUUCAUACAUUCUCAAAUAAAAUUCUUGCCUCUAGGCUGUAGACCAGAUGCAGAUGGCUGUGCAAAGCUGAAAAUACUGUUAUGACGAAUGUUACGGUUUCUUGCUUACAAUCCAAGUAUUGCACUAGCUGUUGAUGCAGCAGGGCACGGUAUCUAGACAUCGAUUUGAACUCGGUUUGUUUGUCUCGUCCAACUACAGCGAGAUGCGAUCACCGAAUCUUGAGAGACGUCAAUUUGUCAAAACAUUAAUCUGACGGUGCUCGUAGCGAGCUGUCGAAGAUGAUUCACGUCGCGUGUCACACUGUGUCGCCGAGAUGUCGUUAUCUUGUCAAGACAGCGGCUGCUUAUGUAACCACGGAGCUGUACUUCGACACCUUGCUGAACUUACCAGCGCCACGCGCUGGUGCUGCAGGUACCGCUGGGGAACUUCUUCUAGUCUUACUGUAGCAGUAAUGAAAUACAACCAACCACGAAGUGGGCUACACAGAGCUAAGCACAGAGAACUAUGGAAAGCUUUAAGCCGAAUGGGGUCCGUGCAAAGUAAUUAAAUCAAGUAAUUAUCUAAAUAUAAAAUUAUAAAUUAGGUUUAUAUUAAUGUGAUAAUUUAAUUUCAGUAUUGUAAGAUACCUACAAAGUUACUAAUUGUUUUCAUUUGUUACGUAUUAUGAAUGGAAUUAAAUAAUUAAUAAUCAAUUAAAGCUGUAUUAUUAUUAUUUACAUAUUACAUUUUAAUACUACUUAUAAAAUAUAAGAAGUCGGGUAAAAAGGAGCCCACCAGUAGUUAAGCUACCGGUGGUUGAGGCUCCAGAGACACAGGAGGAGGUUUCCUCUAUCAGGCCCUUGAUCCAUGUGCCCAACGCCAGCCUCCCAAGGUGGUCGUCGAGGCUGUUUGUAUUGGCCGACACGACUAUCGGCACAAUGAUAGCCGAUUCCACAUUCCACAUGUCGACAGCCUCGUGAGCCAAGUCAACAUAGUCUAGUAUUGCUUAAUAUGGGUUAGAGCAGAGAGAGCACAGAGUGUGUCGCGGAGGCUCGCUAUCGCACCUGUCACGGACUCGUCAAUGUGGCAGAUAGCGGCUGGUUCUCACGCCGCCGCCGACUGGAGCACGAUCCUCGCAUCGAGCCGCACUGGCACACUAGCGCCCCCAGCACAGGCUCACAUCUCACAACUUCUGCACAAUGGUGCAGGUUCGAAAUCUCACAAUUAUCUAGCAACGUGACCUUUUUCGAGUUAUAUGUACCUACUAUUAUUCUAUAUGUCUAAGAAUAUUUAGACACCUAUGACAUACGGUGAAGGAAAACAUUAUAAGGAAACCCGAACUUAUAAUCUUAUAUUAUAAGCUUGAAAUCGCCAACCCCUCCUUGAGCGUUGAUGAAUCGCUCAAACCUUCUUCUGUGUGAGCAGUGGACACAUUAUAUCUACUGAUGACGAUGGUGGUGGUGAAUGGGUGUUCAUUUUUAUGUCGAAUGGUAUGGAAGUCGUUUCUAGUUUCUGUUGUGUUCAUCCGUUACAUACAAUAUUGGUAUGGUUCAAUUUCAAAGCGAGAGCUGAAGCAAGUUCCAAGCUCGACUGACUUCAGUAAGCUGACCCACUCACUGAACAUUCCUUACUUUACAUGUCGUCUGUUUCUGUGACGGAAUCUUGCAUACUAAUACUACUAAAAAAAUAAGUAUGAAGUGAGUGCUGGGUGGUUAUGUUGAGAAGAUGGCCCGAGAGUUGCACAAUGUGUCAGUAUGUGGGCCGCUUGCGACACGGGAGCGGAGGAGCGCGUCCGCGGCCGCCGCCCUGUAAUCCAAUCCCACAUACUUCCAUGGGAGGUGCGAUACUGGUAUCUAGCGUGUGUGUGUGUACAGUGCAUCGACCCCAUUGAUACACCACUUAGUAUCGCGCCUUUCUUUAGAUAUGCAAAUUGUUAUCUCGUUUAUCUUAACUAGGCGCUAAUGUGAGACCGGUUAUCUUAAAGUUUUGAUAAUCGUAUCUAACAGAUACUGUAUCUAGCUGAACAGCUGUUGUUACUACAUAGUAUGCAUGCGAGCCGGCGCGAUGCACGCGUGCGGCGGCCGGUCCGGUCCGUCGCCGGACAUCGCCGGCACUGCCAGUGCUGCAUGUAGUGGAAACUAAUGGCAGGGAAGUGAACCGACGCCGAGUGCCGCGGCCGGCUGCGACUCGGGCCGCGUUGUGCAAGCGAGGGGACGCCUGGGUGUGUUCGCGUGACGUGAUAACGUCGGCAAACAAGCGCCGAGCGACGAGCGCGGGCAAAUAUUUGUAGGGAACGUCGCCAAGUGCCGGCGCAGCGACACCCCGCGGCCGCGCGCCCCGCAGGAGCCUCGUAUCUGGAGCCGAGAUACCGCGAUACCAUCCCUGAUACCGAGUAAUUAUCAGAUAGAAGGCCUACAGAUUUGAUUAGGAGAGCACGCGCAUGCUGCUCAUUACAGUCGGCUCGGCGCCCGCGACCUGGCGCUCGGUAGGUGUCGCAGCGCUCGGUAGGUAGGUCGCCGUAAUCCCCGCUCCGGAUCUGAUAGCCGAUACAUCGACGGAUUAUUGAUGGGCGCCGCUCGACCUCAUCGCGAUCUUAUCAGUUGUUUUUUUCGUCGAAUAUUUUCCGUGAAAAGCUAAUAAAGAGCGGUGUCGCGGGGGCGCGGGCGGAGUGCGCGGGGAGACACGCACGUGACGCGAUGCUCGCUGAUAAGCCGCCAUAUUGUUUCAGUGUAUCACCCCCCGUCCCCCGCGCCCCGCGCCCCCUGAAGCACUCGUCGCCGUCGCUCCCUUUUGGCCACGAGCUCGCCUGGUGGCAAGUGAUGGCGGCCAGCCAGCGAUGGAAGCGAUGGAACACGUCCACAAGCAACCUAGUCAAUUGAACCUUGAACACAACCUUAAGACUUCCAGUCAUCGAUCUAUCUAUCAUAAAGUCCAUAUAUCUGUGGGCGUGGCAUUCACAAGGUCAAGUCUUGCAUAUCAUAAAGCUGCACGAUUGGGACUCAUCCAGUCGCCGCUCGCCAGCCACCACCAAACUUUCGCUAAAAACUAAGUGUGGGCCCAUUACUGCACCCACACUUGUUUCCAGUAAGGUAACGAAACACGGUUCCGAAUGGACUAGGUACGUGAAGUGAUAGCAAUAUUAUCCCUUGUCUCGGUUACCGUACAUUUUCUGUAGAUAGAUUUAAUAUAUAGUAUUUAGUUAAAAUAUAGUCUGCAUCAUAAAAAUAUAGUAUUUUGACAAAGCUGAUUUAUUACUGAGAACAGCCCACUAACAUUUUGCUGGAUUCGAAUUUCGAAUCCGAAAUCCCCCGUCCUGGACGUACACUUGUCACAAUUUAUAGUGUAGUAAGUAUUAUUGAGUCAAAUAUCGCUGAGUUGUGGAGAGUUUUUAUGAUAGAACAAUAACAUUGUAGAUGUCAUCAACAUCUACAAAAAAGUCGGCGACAUAUACCACACACAUCCAACUGUUUUAGAUUCUUCACUUUAACAACUUUUUCAAAAUAUUCGUAGCUCUGAAAAUGGGCAGGCCACGUCGAAGGACUGAUGACCAGCUGUAACGUGGGCAAACAUCCCACUAGAUGGACCGACAUAUCGAGAGAGUCGCGGGGAUGCAGGGGACGGCUUGUCGUUCUACGUGAAGGACUAAGACGACUGAUGAUGAACAACUUUUCAUCUGAUGGUGGGCUAUCAAAGCCGCCAUGACUGCGAUUUAAUUUUUAAAGUGCUUCAAAUGUGGGAACGUUUUAAGCAUGGUUAAGUAACGUAUUGUAAUAGGUUGCGCUUCUUAGACACCUACUGUACCUAGUAGAUAACUUUCAAUCAAACUCUUUGUAAAUAAGUACAGAGAAGAUUCGAAGUGAAUUACUUAUACAAUGUACACUUGCACGCUAUUAAACUCAUGACAAAGAAUGUAAGAAGUCAGUUAAAAAUACAUGUGUAUAUGACCCAAGUAUGUACCCGCGAGUGGCGCGUGACGUCACCGGCUCGGCACCGGACGCCCACAUCCUGGAGGCAGGCGGAGCGCUGCUGCUCUACUGCCCGCGGCCGGCGCAUGCCGUGCAGUACUCACACAGUGUAUGCUGCGCGUGGUAGCAGGGCUCUAGUUCACGGGACUACACGUCUGUUGGGGCAGAUGAGCAACCGGAGAGACAGACAGACUUGGUGACCAAUGACAAUUAGAACAUAGAUCAAACUCAAGUCACGCGGGGAAAGAGCAGGCAGAAGUCCCGAUUUGAAUGUGACGUGCUUGUGGCCUGUGGUCAUCGAGCUUGUGUAAUUGAUGAAGUGGUCUUUGGUCACAUGUGAACCAACACACACUUCACUACACUUUGGAACGAGCGCCUAGCUUCACUGACAGACAGACUGACGGACAAUUCAAUUUGACGUUUCAAAAGUGCCUUAUUUAGGAUUAAUUGAAAUAAAUGCUUUGACUUGACUUGACUUGAAAAAAACACAUUCGGUGGGGUUAUGUUGGAACUGUGGACCAACCUGUUGGAGCCAACGAGCGACGCGAGCGCACUGACGCAGUACAGUGUGGGAGGCAGCGCGAGGGAUGGGGUGCGAUACUGACGGACUGAUGAUGAUUCAACUGUUCUUUAUAAUGUGAGGAUGCCGCAUGUAUGAUGUCUACGUAUACAGGAUCAUUUGUUGUUGGAGUAAAAUCUCGUAUGAGGUUAUAGAACAGAUAAUUUUCAAUAAUUAUAAUUCACGAACAAUAAGGGAUAGAGUUAAUUUCCAAAUGGUCCACGCGGCAACUCUAAAACCGUUUAGAAAAUGUUAAUGUUUUUCUUAACAAAAGUACACGACGAGUGUCUUAGAUUUUAUUGGAGAAGCAUGCAUUUCUGAGCUCGACUUGAAACAAUCCUAUGGUAAAGUAACACUACUAUCGUUAAUGUGAUAAUUACAACUAGUACAUAAGCAAAUAAAGUAAGAUAUUUUUUUAAGCUUUAGAGUUGUUGUUUGGCGUGGAUCAUUUUGAA